AGAGUUUGAUCCUGGCUCAGAUUGAACGCUGGCGGCAGGCCUAACACAUGCAAGUCGAACGGUAACAUUUCUAGCUUGCUAGAAGAUGACGAGUGGCGGACGGGUGAGUAAUGCUUGGGAACUUGCCUUUGCGAGGGGGAUAACAGUUGGAAACGACUGCUAAUACCGCAUAAUGUCUUCGGACCAAACGGGGCUUAGGCUCCGGCGCAAAGAGAGGCCCAAGUGAGAUUAGCUAGUUGGUAAGGUAACGGCUUACCAAGGCGACGAUCUCUAGCUGUUCUGAGAGGAAGAUCAGCCACACUGGGACUGAGACACGGCCCAGACUCCUACGGGAGGCAGCAGUGGGGAAUAUUGCACAAUGGGGGGAACCCUGAUGCAGCCAUGCCGCGUGUGUGAAGAAGGCCUUCGGGUUGUAAAGCACUUUCAGUUGUGAGGAAAAGUUAGUAGUUAAUGCCUGCUAGCCGUGACGUUAACAACAGAAGAAGCACCGGCUAACUCCGUGCCAGCAGCCGCGGUAAUACGGAGGGUGCGAGCGUCAAUCGGAAUUACUGGGCGUAAAGCGCACGCAGGCGGUUUGUUAAGCUAGAUGUGAAAGCCCCGGGCUCAACCUGGGAUGGUCAUUUAGAACUGGCAGACUAGAGUCUUGGAGAGGGGAGUGGAAUUCCAGGUGUAGCGGUGAAAUGCGUAGAUAUCUGGAGGAACAUCAGUGGCGAAGGCGACUCCCUGGCCAAAGACUGACGCUCAUGUGCGAAAGUGUGG
rnacentral:rRNA from 1 species